AUCCUUACCUGGCAGGGGAUAUACCAUGAUCACGAAGGUGGUUUUUUCCUAGGCAGGCCUCAUCCAUUGCAUUCCGGAUCCAUUGCUGACCCCUGCAAUUUCUCCAAAUGUGGGAAAAUCAAAUGCAUUGAUUUGUGGCAGUGGGUGACUGAGUUCACACUCCGCCCU
ensembl:snRNA U1 U1 spliceosomal RNA